rnacentral:lncRNA from 1 species
UUUUUUUUUUUUUUUUUUUUUUUUUUUUGCACCCGGGGUGGUGGUGGUGGGGUUCAGGCAAUUUCAGGAACGUUAGAAACAGCAUGUUUAUCGUCAAGCACCAACCCCACAUCACAGGAAGGUAAAUACAAAUCUGCGUCUCAUCUUUCAUCUCCCGUGUGCGUUUUAUAACCAGUAGUAGUACUUCCUCGCUUUGCACGUGACAGUAGCACAGGCGGGUAAGGCUCGGGCCGGGCCUCCGGGCCGCCAGGCUGCUCUCUGCCCUCUCGGGGCUGCUCUCGGCCGCCCGCCAGGGAGGACCGCUCCCGGCCCCCCCCGCUGGAUUCUGCAGUCACGGAAGAAAGGCUUGUCUAAGUACAGUAGAAGAGCUGCCACCCGGGGGUGCCGAGGAAAGCCGCGGGCACAGGCCCACGCGGGGACCCGGGGGCAGCCCAGGUCUCCCGGGACAAAUAUUGCCCAUUUGUUUCUGCUGACUGCAGAGACCAGCAAACUGAUGAACUAAUAAUAAUAAUAAUAAUAAUAAUAUUAAUAAUACAUAUACCCAAAGGGGGGGGGGAUCAGAUAUGUGACAUCUGCGCACGUUCUCCAUAGGUUAAAGUCGCCAGCGUUAACUCUUCUCUGGAAGUUAAGAACGGAGGUCUUGAAACUGGAACAGUAAGUGUCAGGUCUGACGCUGAAAACACGUGAGUACAGGGCUGAAGCUAGCGUCUCUCCUGGUCUCGGCUGGCACCACGCUGGAAACCUUCGUCAGCCACAUCCCGCCAUCCCGAGGACCAAACUACAGCUCCACCAGGCAGCGAACACAGAAAAGAAAAAGGUCUAUUUGAGAAAAGAACAUCUUAUCCGUAUUUCCUCUGGCAAUUUACAUGAAAUUCACAUCAUUUUCUUCCAGUUAUUGGCUAUGGGUAUGCAAGGGCGUUAUUUCUUUUCUUCUGUUUCCAGCUCACGGAACAUACGUGACGAUCACAGAUUCGCAAGGACAAGCUCAGACACACCAAUACAGAAGAUAACGUUAAUGCUUAAAUGAAAAGGUCCUCUCCAAAUAAUUCAUUAAAACAUCUGCUUUG